GUUGAUUAAAUUUUGACCAAACAUCGCCGGUGGUGGGUAAUCUAAACGGUGUUGCGGAAUUCCGGUCCCGGAAUCGGAAGUUGUCGACCAAAAGCUUGAAUCAAAUUCAACUCACUCGGAAGCAAGUGCAUCGCCUUGUCCAGCAGGAUGCGUCGCCAAAACUCAAAACUAAACGGAACACCCAAGGAAACCACGUCGCAAAAGCAAUCGAGCGAAGAAGGAAAAAAACAUCGAUCAGCUCUAGUCACCAUUGUCGAGCGUGCCGUGCUGGAUGAUAUUCCUGCGGAAGAUCCGAAGGAAGAGAAAUCGAUGGGUUAGAAGUCAUUGAGUCAAGCGGUGACGAGAUCUGGCCAGGACAAGGCAAUGAUGUUUCCAGUGAGAUGAAGCGAAAGCGUACGUUGAUCUAGCCCCUGAAGAAAGCGGUAGAAAUGUGGAAGUGGGCGGAAUCGAGUGACUCGAUGAACAGUGAGAUUCUAGCGGAAAUUGAUUGGUAGAGGAAGCCGAAAAAACAAAAAGAAUAAGAAAAGAAGAUAGAUUUUCCGACAGGACGCUUCUAGUGAGAAACGAAACAUAAAAUUAGUUUUAUUAAAAUUUUAUUAACA